rnacentral:piRNA from 1 species
UUCAAUCUCAAAGUUGAAUACAGGUAAAGGA